rnacentral:rRNA from 1 species
GACAGAGGGUGCAAACGUUGUUCGGAAUUACUGGGCGUAAAGCGCAUGUAGGCGGCCCGGCAGGUCGGAUGUGAAAUCCCUCGGCUCAACCAAGGAAGUGCAUUCGAAACCGCCAGGCUCGAGUCCCGGAGAGGAUGGUGGAAUUCUCGGUGUAGAGGUGAAAUUCGUAGAUAUCGAGAGGAACACCGGCGGCGAAGGCGGCCAUCUCGGACGAGGACUGACGCUGAGAUGCGAAAGCGUGGGGAGCAAACAGG